AGCCAUGUAGCGAGCACAAAGCGAACUAUUCUUUCGCCUUUUACUAAAGAAUACCGUGUGCUUGUUACAUCAAAUGGCAUACGCCUAUUUUUGGAGAGCCUUUUCAUUUAUUGAAAAGC
rnacentral:snRNA from 2 species